UACGAAGGGGGCUAGCGUUGCUCGGAAUGACUGGGCGUAAAGGGCGCGUAGGCGGAUGGCACAGUCAGAUGUGAAAUUCCUGGGCUUAACCUGGGGGCUGCAUUUGAUACGUGUGAUCUAGAGUGAGGAAGAGGGUUGUGGAAUUCCCAGUGUAGAGGUGAAAUUCGUAGAUAUCGGGAGGAACACCAGUGGCGAAGGCGGCGACCUGGGCCAAUAUUGACGCUGAGGUGCGAAAGCGUGGGGAGCAAACAGG
rnacentral:rRNA from 1 species